AGGAUGAACGCUAGCUACAGGCUUAACACAUGCAAGUCGAGGGGCAUCAGGAAGAAAGCUUGCUUUCUUUGCUGGCGACCGGCGCACGGGUGAGUAACACGUAUCCAACCUGCCCUUUACUCGGGGAUAGCCUUUCGAAAGAAAGAUUAAUACCCGAUAGCAUAAUGAUUCCGCAUGGUUUCAUUAUUAAAGGAUUCCGGUAAAGGAUGGGGAUGCGUUCCAUUAGGUUGUUGGUGAGGUAACGGCCCACCAAGCCUUCGAUGGAUAGGGGUUCUGAGAGGAAGGUCCCCCACAUUGGAACUGAGACACGGUCCAAACUCCUACGGGAGGCAGCAGUGAGGAAUAUUGGUCAAUGGGCGCUAGCCUGAACCAGCCAAGUAGCGUGAAGGAUGAAGGCUCUAUGGGUCGUAAACUUCUUUUAUAUAAGAAUAAAGUGCAGUAUGUAUACUGUUUUGUAUGUAUUAUAUGAAUAAGGAUCGGCUAACUCCGUGCCAGCAGCCGCGGUAAUACGGAGGAUCCGAGCGUUAUCCGGAUUUAUUGGGUUUAAAGGGAGCGUAGGUGGACUGGUAAGUCAGUUGUGAAAGUUUGCGGCUCAACCGUAAAAUUGCAGUUGAUACUGUCAGUCUUGAGUACAGUAGAGGUGGGCGGAAUUCGUGGUGUAGCGGUGAAAUGCUUAGAUAUCACGAAGAACUCCGAUUGCGAAGGCAGCUCACUGGACUGCAACUGACACUGAUGCUCGAAAGUGUGGGUAUCAAACAGGAUUAGAUACCCUGGUAGUCCACACAGUAAACGAUGAAUACUCGCUGUUUGCGAUAUACAGUAAGCGGCCAAGCGAAAGCAUUAAGUAUUCCACCUGGGGAGUACGCCGGCAACGGUGAAACUCAAAGGAAUUGACGGGGGCCCGCACAAGCGGAGGAACAUGUGGUUUAAUUCGAUGAUACGCGAGGAACCUUACCCGGGCUUAAAUUGCAGUGGAAUGAUGUGGAAACAUGUCAGUGAGCAAUCACCGCUGUGAAGGUGCUGCAUGGUUGUCGUCAGCUCGUGCCGUGAGGUGUCGGCUUAAGUGCCAUAACGAGCGCAACCCUUAUCUUUAGUUACUAACAGGUUAUGCUGAGGACUCUAGAGAGACUGCCGUCGUAAGAUGUGAGGAAGGUGGGGAUGACGUCAAAUCAGCACGGCCCUUACGUCCGGGGCUACACACGUGUUACAAUGGGGGGUACAGAAGGCAGCUAGCGGGUGACCGUAUGCUAAUCCCAAAAUCCUCUCUCAGUUCGGAUCGAAGUCUGCAACCCGACUUCGUGAAGCUGGAUUCGCUAGUAAUCGCGCAUCAGCCACGGCGCGGUGAAUACGUUCCCGGGCCUUGUACACACCGCCCGUCAAGCCAUGGGAGCCGGGGGUACCUGAAGUACGUAACCGCAAGGAUCGUCCUAGGGUA
rnacentral:rRNA from 1 species